GAUGAACGCUGGCGGCGUGCCUAAUACAUGCAAGUCGAGCGAACAGACGAGGAGCUUGCUCCUCUGACGUUAGCGGCGGACGGGUGAGUAACACGUGGAUAACCUACCUAUAAGACUGGGAUAACUUCGGGAAACCGGAGCUAAUACCGGAUAAUAUAUUGAACCGCAUGGUUCAAUAGUGAAAGACGGUUUUGCUGCCACUUAUAGAUGGAUCCGCGCCGCAUUAGCUAGUUGGUAAGGUAACGGCUUACCAAGGCGACGAUGCGUAGCCGACCUGAGAGGGUGAUCGGCCACACUGGAACUGAGACACGGUCCAGACUCCUACGGGAGGCAGCAGUAAGGAAUCUUCCGCAAUGGGCGAAAGCUUGACGGAGCAACGCCGCGUGAGUGAUGAAGGUCUUCGGAUCGUAAAACUCUGUUAUUAGGGAAGAACAAAUGUGUAAGUAACUAUGCACGUCUUGACGGUACCUAAUCAGAAAGCCACGGCUAACUACGUG
rnacentral:rRNA from 1 species